CACGAACCGUACAAACGUUAUUCGGAAUUACUGGGCUUAAAGGGUUUGUAGGCGGCCAUGUAAGUCAGGUGUGAAAUCCCUCGGCUCAACCGAGGAACGGCGCUUGAUACUGCAUGGCUUGAGGGAGACAGGGGUAAGCGGAACUGAUGGUGGAGCGGUGAAAUGCGUUGAUAUCAUCAGGAACACCGGUGGCGAAAGCGGCCUACUGGGUCUCUUCUGACGCUGAGGAACGAAAGCUAGGGUAGCGAACGGG
rnacentral:rRNA from 1 species